CUUCACUGCCGCAUAGGCUGCUUAGAAA
rnacentral:other from 1 species